rnacentral:rRNA from 1 species
GCCCUUAGAGUUUGAUCCUGGCUCAGGAUGAACGCUAGCUACAGGCUUAACACAUGCAAGUCGAGGGGAAACGACAUCGAAAGCUUGCUUUCGAUGGGCGUCGACCGGCGCACGGGUGAGUAACGCGUAUCCAACCUGCCCAUCACUUGGGGAUAACCUUGCGAAAGUAAGACUAAUACCCAAUGACGUCUCUAGAAGACAUCUGAAGGAGAUUAAAGAUUUAUCGGUGAUGGAUGGGGAUGCGUCUGAUUAGCUUGUUGGCGGGGUAACGGCCCACCAAGGCGACGAUCAGUAGGGGUUCUGAGAGGAAGGUCCCCCACAUUGGAACUGAGACACGGUCCAAACUCCUACGGGAGGCAGCAGUGAGGAAUAUUGGUCAAUGGGCGAGAGCCUGAACCAGCCAAGUAGCGUGCAGGAUGACGGCCCUAUGGGUUGUAAACUGCUUUUAUAAGGGAAUAAAGUGAGCCUCGUGAGGCUUUUUGCAUGUACCUUAUGAAUAAGGACCGGCUAAUUCCGUGCCAGCAGCCGCGGUAAUACGGAAGGUCCGGGCGUUAUCCGGAUUUAUUGGGUUUAAAGGGAGCGUAGGCCGGAGAUUAAGCGUGUUGUGAAAUGUAGACGCUCAACGUCUGCACUGCAGCGCGAACUGGUUUCCUUGAGUACGCACAAAGUGGGCGGAAUUCGUGGUGUAGCGGUGAAAUGCUUAGAUAUCACGAAGAACUCCGAUUGCGAAGGCAGCUCACUGGAGCGCAACUGACGCUGAAGCUCGAAAGUGCGGGUAUCGAACAGGAUUAGAUACCCUGGUAGUCCGCACGGUAAACGAUGGAUGCCCGCUGUUGGUCUGAAUAGGUCAGCGGCCAAGCGAAAGCAUUAAGCAUCCCACCUGGGGAGUACGCCGGCAACGGUG